rnacentral:rRNA from 1 species
AUAUUGGUCAAUGGAGGCAACCCUGAACCAGCCAAGUCGCGUCAUGGCUGAAGGUCUUCUCGAUUGUAAACUUCUUUUCCAAGGGGCUAAAGAUGGGGACGUGUCCUCGUUUGCAUGUACCUUGUGAAUAAGGAUCGGCUAACUCCGUGCUACCAGCCGCGGCAAUACGGAGGAUCCGAGCGUUAUCCGGAUUUAUUGGGUUUAAAGGGUGCGCAGGCGGGAUGUUAAGUCGGCGGUGAAAUUUUGCAGCUCAACUGUAAAAGUGCCUUCGAUACUGGCUUUCUUGAGUGUGGAUGAAGUAGGCGGAAUUUGUGGUGUAGCGGUGAAAUGAUUAGAUAUCACGAGGAACUCCGAUUGCGCAGGCAGCUUAUUAAACCACGACUGACGCUCAUGCACGAAGGCGUGGGGAUCAAACAGG